GUCAUGGCUCAAUGAUAGAGUGCUUGCCACUUAUGUAUGAGAUACUGGGUUCGAUUCUCAUCAUGGCA
rnacentral:tRNA from 1 species